CUGGGUUUGUGGAAUGCUUCCUGGAUGCCAAGACUUGGCUUUGCAUUGUAAUUAGCAAGAUUAUUAGCAGAGAUAAGGGCCUGUAACCCCUGGUUUGUAAAGCCUGUCUGUCUACAGCCCAUGCAGUCUCCAAGGAAUUCCUCUUUUGUGAAAGUCCAGCACAGUGGAGACUCGAGGAGGCACUGAAAUACCUAUUUAAAAGAAGGGGUGAAAAAUGCAGUGUCAUUUUGCUUAUCUGCAGACUCAGUUCUUGAAUCUCAAAUCUGUAAGAAUCCUAUCAGGUAAAUGACAACUUUCAUGGUGCAAGAUGCUAAAACUGAAUUUACAGAGUAUUCCUCAGCUACAACUCCACGUAACACAGGGAAUCCAACCAAGGGAACAUCAGCUAGGGGAGGG